UUUCACAUCUAGGUUCACAGUAUUACACAAAGUAUUCAUUUUAUGCAAUUUCAGGACAUAAAACAGGAAGUUAUUGCAAAGAUAUUAGUUUUCCUAAAUCGACUAACGACUGAAUCUCAUGGAAUCGAUGUCGGUGGCUGUUUCGUAAUAACUCCCUCGUCAACACUUACGAUGCUAGGAAGUUUUAUUACUUACAUACUGGUUGUGAUCCAGACAAAAUCUUUAUAGCUGCCCUCUCUUCCUUAUUAUACAUUUCCAAUGAUAAAUUAUAUGCGAAGCUCGAUUUAACAACAUUACCUCGCCAGUACAUGAAUUCGGACCACGUCCCUACAAACCUUUCCGAAGCAAGAUUCUUGAAAAGAUUAAAAAAUAGCGUGAUACUGUAUCGAGUUCCAACCUCUCCUACCAGCGUUAGAUUGAUUAUGUAAUCUUUGUUAUCAGAAACACAUGCUGCUAUUGAUUUUCAACUAGUUUACUUACAACUGACCAUCACUUUUGUCGAAAAGAAUAUUUUUCACUUUGAUUUUUCUCAAUAUAUAUUGUAUUUUCCUUCCCACUCAUCUGGGCAACAUGUUUUUCGUUUCUCUCAUUUUCAUCAAUAUAUAAGACCGAUAAAUCACUGGAUGUAUAUUAUAAAUG
rnacentral:lncRNA from 1 species